UACGAGGGGUGCAAGCGUUGCUCGGAAUUAUUGGGCGUAAAGGGUAGGUAGGUGGUCUUAUUUGUCAGGGGUGAAAUCCUUGGGCUUAACUCAAGAAGUGCCCCUGAAACGGUAAGACUAGAAUCUUGGAGAGGUGAGCGGAAUUCCCGGUGUAGCGGUGAAAUGCGUAGAGAUCGGGAGGAACACCAGCGGCGAAGGCGGCUCACUGGACAAGUAUUGACACUCAAAUACGAAAGCGUGGGGAGCAAACAGG
rnacentral:rRNA from 1 species